rnacentral:lncRNA from 1 species
GGUCAGUGUGGGUCAUUUGGGUUAUUGGGGUCAUUGGGGUCUAUAAGGCUCCUUUGGGUUAAAGGGGUCAGUGGGGUCAAUGGGGAUCAUUGGGGUCAGUUGGAUUAUGGGGUUCAUGUGAGGUCACUGGGGUCACUGGGUCAAAGGGGUCAAUGGGGUCAGUGGGGCCAAUGGGGUUAUUGCAGGCCAGAAGGGUUUGGGCUUCCAAGCAAUCACCAAGCUUUUGGAUGAGCCAGCCCUCUGCUUUUUGUGAGGACAGACCCCAACGAGCCCACAGAACCCGAAUAACCUCCUUGACCCCCACAGACAAGUCCUCCUUGGAAAGCCAUCUCGGCAAGGGCAGAAUAGCGCUGUUCUUGGGCCGCAGCACUCCAUGGCC